UACGUAGGUGGCAAGCGUUAUCCGGAUUUACUGGGUGUAAAGGGAGCGUAGACGGCGAUGCAAGUCUGAAGUGAAAGGCGGGGGCCCAACCCCCGGACUGCUUUGGAAACUGUAUAGCUGGAGUGCAGGAGAGGUAAGUGGAAUUCCUAGUGUAGCGGUGAAAUGCGUAGAUAUUAGGAGGAACACCAGUGGCGAAGGCGGCUUACUGGACUGUAACUGACGUUGAGGCUCGAAAGCGUGGGGAGCAAACAGG
rnacentral:rRNA from 1 species